rnacentral:rRNA from 1 species
UACGGAGGGGGCGAGCGUUGUUCGGAAUUACUGGGCGUAAAGCGCGUGUAGGCGGUCUGGCAAGUCUGGUGUGAAAGCCCGAGGCUCACCCUCGGAAGUGCACUGGAAACUGCCAGACUCGAGUCCGGGAGAGGAGAGUAGAAUUCCUGGUGUAGCGGUGAAAUGCGUAGAUAUCAGGAAGAAUACCAGUGGCGAAGGCGGCUCUCUGGCCGGUGACUGACGCUGAGGCGCGAAAGCGUGGGGAGCAAACAGG